CCAAAUACAAAAUUUUAAAAUCUUUACAAAAUAUUGAAAACCGCGAAUAAAUCCGAAAAUCAGGAUGUUACAGCCCCUCUUUUUGGACCCAAGGUCAGCUUCGGCCGGCCGAUCCAGGCGGAAGACAUUGUCAAGUAGGAAGUUUGGCUGGGGCAGCACAUCUGUUAAAAGAUAAUGCAGGUGUCUUAAGAUUAGCUCAACAAGAACAAAAAUCUCGUGUGGAACAAAAGGGUAAAAGCUCAUUUGGUUUUGAUUUCCAGUAUGAAUACGAACCGUGAAAGUGUGGCCUAUCGAUCCUUUAGAGCUUCAAAAUUUGAAGCUAGAGGUGUCAGAAAAGUUACCACAGGGAUAACUGG
rnacentral:ncRNA from 1 species